AUUGAACGCUGGCGGCAGGCCUAACACAUGCAAGUCGAACGGUAGCACAGAGGAGCUUGCUCCUUGGGUGACGAGUGGCGGACGGGUGAGUAAUGUCUGGGAAACUGCCCGAUGGAGGGGGAUAACUACUGGAAACGGUAGCUAAUACCGCAUAACGUCGCAAGACCAAAGAGGGGGACCUUCGGGCCUCUUGCCAUCGGAUGUGCCCAGAUGGGAUUAGCUAGUAGGUGGGGUAACGGCUCACCUAGGCGACGAUCCCUAGCUGGUCUGAGAGGAUGACCAGCCUCACUGGAACUGAGACACGGUCCAGACUCCUACGGGAGGCAGCAGUGGGGAAUAUUGCACAAUGGGCGCAAGCCUGAUGCAGCCAUGCCGCGUGUAUGAAGAAGGCCUUCGGGUUGUAAAGUACUUUCAGCGAGGAGGAAGGCGUUGUGGUUAAUAACCGCAGCGAUUGACGUUACUCGCAGAGGAAGCACCGGCUAACUCCGUGCCAGCCGCCGCGGUAAAAGGG
rnacentral:rRNA from 1 species